rnacentral:rRNA from 1 species
GGAAAGGCGCGCGAUACAGGGUGACAGCCCCGUACACAAAAAUGCACAUGCUGUGAGCUCGAUGAGUAGGGCGGGACACGUGGUAUCCUGUCUGAAUAUGGGGGGACCAUCCUCCAAGGCUAAAUACUCCUGACUGACCGAUAGUGAACCAGUACCGUGAGGGAAAGGCGAAAAGAACCCCGGCGAGGGGAGUGAAAAAGAACCUGAAACCGUGUACGUACAAGCAGUGGGAGCACGCUUAGGCGUGUGACUGCGUACCUUUUGUAUAAUGGGUCAGCGACUUAUAUUCUGUAGCAAGGUUAACCGAAUAGGGGAGCCGAAGGGAAACCGAGUCUUAACUGGGCGUUAAGUUGCAGGGUAUAGACCCGAAACCCGGUGAUCUAGCCAUGGGCAGGUUGAAGGUUGGGUAACACUAACUGGAGGACCGAACCGACUAAUGUUGAAAAAUUAGCGGAUGACUUGUGGCUGGGGGUGAAAGGCCAAUCAAACCGGGAGAUAGCUGGUUCUCCCCGAAAGCUAUUUAGGUAGCGCCUCGUGAAUUCAUCUCCGGGGGUAGAGCACUGUUUCGGCAAGGGGGUCAUCCCGACUUACCAACCCGAUGCAAACUGCGAAUACCGGAGAAUGUUAUCACGGGAGACACACGGCGGGUGCUAACGUCCGUCGUGAAGAGGGAAACAACCCAGACCGCCAGCUAAGGUCCCAAAGUCAUGGUUAAGUGGGAAACGAUGUGGGAAGGCCCAGACAGCCAGGAUGUUGGCUUAGAAGCAGCCAUCAUUUAAAGAAAGCGUAAUAGCUCACUGGUCGAGUCGGCCUGCGCGGAAGAUGUAACGGGGCUAAACCAUGCACCGAAGCUGCGGCAGCGACGCU